rnacentral:rRNA from 1 species
UACGUAGGGUGCAAGCGUUGUCCGGAAUUAUUGGGCGUAAAGAGCGUGUAGGCGGCCCGAUUAGUCCGCUGUGAAAGUCCAGGGCUCAACCCUGGAAUGCCGGUGGAUACUGUCGGGCUAGAGUCCGGAAGGGGCGAGUGGAAUUCCUGGUGUAGCGGUGAAAUGCGCAGAUAUCAGGAGGAACACCAGUGGCGAAGGCGGCACUCUGGGCCGGUACUGACGCUGAGGAGCGAAAGCGUGGGGAGCGAACAGG